CCCGCUGAACUUAAGCAUAUCAAUAAGCGGAGGAAAAGAAACCAACAGGGAUUGCCUCAGUAACGGCGAGUGAAGCGGCAAAAGCUCAGAUUUGAAAUCUGGUGUAGUAAUCGACACCCGAGUUGUAAUCUGUAGAGGAGUUUUCGGAGAAUGACUUUGGUUAAAGUUCCUUGGAAAAGGGCAUCAUAGAGGGUGAGAAUCCUGUUUAUGACCUUUGUAAUUCUCUAUUAUGAAUCUCCUUCAAAGAGUCGAGUUGUUUGGGAAUGCAGCUCAAAAUGGGUGGUAAAUUCCAUCUAAAGCUAAAUAUUGGCGAGAGACCGAUAGCGAACAAGUACCGUGAGGGAAAGAUGAAAAGAACUUUGGAAAGAGAGUUAAACAGUACGUGAAAUUGUUGAAAGGGAAACGCUUGAAGUCAGUCACGUUGGCCAGAAAUCAACUUGUAACAGGGCGUAAUUUCUGGUUUUACGGGUCAACAUCAAUUUUGAUUGUUGGAUAAAAGUCAAUAUUUAUGCGUUUUCGGACGUGUAGCCUUUGAUUGCAUACAAUGGUUGGGAUUGAGGAACUCAGCACGCCGCAAGGCCGGGUAACUUGUUACCACGUAACGUGCUUAGGAUGUUGGCAUAAUGGCUUUAAUCGACCCGUCUUGAAACACGG
rnacentral:rRNA from 1 species